rnacentral:misc_RNA from 1 species
AAGUCGUAACAAGGUUUCCGUAGGUGAACCUGCGGAAGGAUCAUUAACACGUUAUCCACGUAUCAUCAACCGUCACAUUGUUAUUUCUACCUCUGUGCAGAAUGAGCAGCAGCAAGAUUGAGUUAUGGAGAGGACUGCGAAAGCGUCUGGCUCGAUUUGCUAUUGGAUCCAGAGGGCUUGCUUUUUGGCAGGUUCCGCGGCGCCUACUGUUGUAUCUGUCUCGUGGAGGCCCCGCUUGCCGCGCAAGUCUCUUUCCAUGAAGUGCGCGGGGAGUAACUUAUUCACAAUUUUAACCCCUUUUUGCUAGUUGACUUUUAUAUGUUGUGCUUUGCUUCGGUAAGGUGCACACGUUUAAUUAUUUGAACGUUAAAAAUACAACUCUUAGCAAUGGAUAUCUAGGUUCUC